UACAGGGGGUGCAAACGUUGCUCGGAAUUAUUGGGCGUAAAGCGCGUGUAGGCGGCUUUGCAAGUCGGGUGUGAAAGCCCUCAGCUCAACUGAGGAAGUGCGCCCGAAACUGCAGAGCUUGAGUACCGGAGAGGAUGGUGGAAUUCCCCAAGUAGAGGUGAAAUUCGUAGAUAUGGGGAGGAACACCGGUGGCGAAGGCGACCAUCUGGACGGAUACUGACGCUGAGACGCGAAAGCGUGGGUAGCAAACAGG
rnacentral:rRNA from 1 species